rnacentral:tRNA from 1 species
UUAUUAAUAGUUAAAUAAAUAACACUAAAAUGCAAUUUUAGAAUUGAAAUUAAUCUUGAUAAA